rnacentral:rRNA from 1 species
AAGCUAGUAAGAUCCCUGAAAGAUGAUCAGGUUGAUAGGUCUGAGGUGGAAGCGUGGUGACACGUGGAGCUGACAGAUACUAAUAGAUCGAGGACUUAACCACA